UUAUAGCCAACAAUUUUGUGGGUGGGAGGUAGUUGUAGAGAUGUAGAUGUCAAUAAUAUAGGCUAGGUAAAUAGAUAAAAUCAAUUCCCAUGUUAUAUUUUUAUUAUUAUUAUUUUGCUUUCUAUUAAACACACUAAUUACAUAAAGAGCGGAAUCGCACGGGAUAUACCUGGCAACCAAUCAUCUAAACCGUCAGCCCGCAUUCAUUUUCCAAUUCAUUUUCUGAGCCUUUGAGGAUGAACAAGACCAACAAGAACCAGUCAGGUAAAAAUCCUUGGUGAAGUCACCAGAUAUGGAUGGCGUGUAUGUUGUUCGACAUUGCAGCGUGCUGAUGAGAAUCGCUCUUCGGUUAAUAAAGAGGCAGCAAGAACCUGGGAUCUGCAUUGGCCCUGUCAAGUCUGGA